UCAGGACGAACGCUGGCGGCGUGCCUAAUACAUGCAAGUCGAGCGGACAGAAGGGAGCUUGCUCCCGGAUGUUAGCGGCGGACGGGUGAGUAACACGUGGGUAACCUGCCUGUAAGACUGGGAUAACUCCGGGAAACCGGAGCUAAUACCGGAUAGUUCCUUGAACCGCAUGGUUCAAGGAUGAAAGACGGUUUCGGCUGUCACUUACAGAUGGACCCGCGGCGCAUUAGCUAGUUGGUGGGGUAAUGGCUCACCAAGGCGACGAUGCGUAGCCGACCUGAGAGGGUGAUCGGCCACACUGGGACUGAGACACGGCCCAGACUCCUACGGGAGGCAGCAGUAGGGAAUCUUCCGCAAUGGACGAAAGUCUGACGGAGCAACGCCGCGUGAGUGAUGAAGGUUUUCGGAUCGUAAAGCUCUGUUGUUAGGGAAGAACAAGUGCGAGAGUAACUGCUCGCACCUUGACGGUACCUAACCAGAAAGCCACGGC
rnacentral:rRNA from 1 species